UACAGAGGCCCCGAGCGUUACCCGGAAUCACUGGGCGUAAAGAGUGUGUAGGUGGUCAUAUUAGUCGUCCGUUAAAAACCAGGGCCUAACCUUGGGAGUGCGGGCGAAACGGUAUGACUCGAGGGUGUGAGAGGUGCAUAGAACUCUAGGUGUAGGGGUGAAAUCCGUUGAUAUCUAGGGGAAUACCGAAAGCGAAGGCAGUGCACUGGCGCAUUCCUGACAUCAAACACGAAAGCGUGGGUAGCGAACGGG
rnacentral:rRNA from 1 species